GGGUCAGUAGGUUGGUCGUGCCACCGGUACGUACUGGUCUCACUGAUUCCUCCUUCCUGAAGAACCGUAAUGCCAUUAAUUCGGUGUUGCGGGGAAACAGGACUGUUACUUUGAAAAAAUUAGAGUGUUUAAAGCAAGCUAACGCUUGAAUACAUUAGCAUGGAAUAAUGAAAUAGGUCGAUCGAUCCUAUUUUGUUGGUUUCUAGGAUUGACGUA
rnacentral:rRNA from 1 species